UUUAAACACCGAUUCUCGUACGAUCAUUGAAGUUAAGCAACGUCGAGCCUGGUCAGUAUCUAGCUGGGUGACAGGUUGGGAAUACCUCAUACUGUAAG